UACGUAGGGUGCAGGCGUUAAUCGGAAUUACUGGGCGUAAAGCGCGCGUAGGCGGCUUUGUAAGUUAGAGGUGAAAGCCCGGGGCUCAACUCCGGAACUGCCUUUAAGACUGCAUCGCUUGAAUCCGGGAGAGGUGAGUGGAAUUCCGAGUGUAGAGGUGAAAUUCGUAGAUAUUCGGAAGAACACCAGUGGCGAAGGCGGCUCACUGGACCGGUAUUGACGCUGAGGUGCGAAAGCGUGGGGAGCAAACAGG
rnacentral:rRNA from 1 species